AAGUGUUGUGGCAGUCAACAUGUGGACAAGAACUAAAGAGAAGAAAACACAGAUGGAUGAAAUCACUGUGCGUUAUGAUGAAGCUGAUGGUACAGUGAACUAUGAAAACAUCAGACCUUCUGGUGGAGUUUGACCAACACUUCUGCCUCCAUCAGACUCCACUGAUCAACUCAUCACGUUUCACACGACCAGUUAAAGACUGGAAAUAACAACAACAAAAAAGAGAGACUUAUUAUGUUAUUUUAGUCUGAUGUCUUUUCCUCCAUCAGCUGUAAAAACUUUUCUUGUCUGCAGUCAGGUCAGAACGCAGCAGCUGGAUUUUAACAUCAUUUAACAGCAAAGAGCGUUUAACUCUUGUUCACUUCCUUAAAUUGUCUUCCAGCUGAAGAUUUCAGAGCUGAUUUUAGGAUUUACUGCCUGUUAUUGAAGCUCCAGCAGCUUGAGCUCACUUUCAUGUCUCUGUGUGCAGAAGAACUCAUUUUAAUCCACUUUCAUUUAGCAUUGCUGUGAACAUAUUUGUUGGGAUGUCAAUGUGUUUGAAUCUGUUUUCAGCUUUAAUGGAGUCAGUAACAGUCUGCUCUUUA